rnacentral:rRNA from 1 species
UGGGGAAUAUUGGACAAUGGGCGCAAGCCUGAUCCAGCCAUGCCGCGUGAGUGACGAAGGUCUUCGGAUUGUAAAACUCUUUUGGCGGGGACGAUAAUGACGGUACCCGCAGAAUAAGCCCCGGCUAACUUCGUGCCAGCAGCCGCGGUAAUACGAAGGGGGCUAGCGUUGUUCGGAAUCACUGGGCGUAAAGCGCACGUAGGCGGAUGUGCCAGUCAGGGGUGAAAUCCCGGAGCUCAACUCCGGAACUGCCUCUGAUACAGCACGUCUUGAGUUCGAGAGAGGUGGGUGGAAUUCCUAGUGUAGAGGUGAAAUUCGUAGAUAUUAGGAAGAACACCGGUGGCGAAGGCGGCCCACUGGCUCGAUACUGACGCUGAGGUGCGAAAGCGUGGGGAGCAAACAGGAUUAGAUACCCAAGUAGUCCCUGAGCGGGCUGGCAAGGCGCAU